AUUGAACGCUGGCGGCAGGCCUAACACAUGCAAGUCGAGCGAGCGGCGGACGGGUGAGUAAUGUCUGGGAGACAGCCUGAUGGGGGGGGAUAACUCCUGGAAACGGUAGCUAAUACCGCAUACCAUAAGAUGUGCCCAGAUGGGAGUAUCUAGGAGGUGGGGUAAUGGCUCACCUAGGCGACGAUCCCUAGCUGGUCUGAGAGGAUGACCAGCCACACUGGAACUGAGACAAGGUCCAGACUCCUACGGGAGGCAGCAGGGGGGAAUAUUGCACAAUGGGCGCAAGCCUGAUGCAGCCAUGCAGCGGGUGUGAAGAAGGCCUUCGGGUUGUAAAGCACUUUCAGCGGGGAGGCGUUACCCGCAGAAGAAGCACCGGCUAACUCCGUGCCAGCCGCCGCGGUAAUUC
rnacentral:rRNA from 1 species